rnacentral:rRNA from 1 species
GGACUACUGGGGUAUCUAAUCCUGUUUGCUCCCCACGCUUUCGCACCUCAGCGUCAGUAUUGGCCCAGGUCGCCGCCUUCGCCACUGGUGUUCCUCCCGAUAUCUACGAAUUUCACCUCUACACCGGGAAUUCCGCGACCCUCUUCCAUACUCGAGCCUGCCAGUUUCGAAUGCCCUUCCUGGGUUGAGCCCAGGGCUUUCACAUCCGACUUAUCAGACCGCCUACGUGCGCUUUACGCCCAAUGAUUCCGAGCAACGUUUGCACCCUCCGUAUUACCGCGGCGGCUGGCAC